rnacentral:lncRNA from 1 species
UGAAAAUUGAAAUAUGGCUACAACCUUAGAAAGCCCUUCUUUUGGGUGGAUUGAGCAAUCAUUUUUUAGAUUUGAUGGAUUUUCGGUCAUACUUUGACUCAAAACUCCAUUUCAGAGAGGUCGAAUAUUAUUGAAGAAUAGGGUAGCAUUUCAUUCUUACCAUGUUUCAUAUGGCAGCGUAUUUUUUGAAAGUUAAAGCCAAUAAUUUCUUGCCUUCUCAAUUCGUUUUGAGAGGAAUUUAGAUAGCAGAUUUUGUCUUCACAAUAUAUGCCUUCUUCCUUAAGCAACUAAUGGAAGGAAACUUUCUGUAUAUGAAUACAAUGCUUAGACUAUAUAAAGAGGUUCAUAGCAAAGGAUUUUACACACAAAUUGAAGCAGUAGCUAUAGAUAACAACUCAUUCCUUCGAUUUACUUUCUUU